GCAUGGGUUUGGAUUUAUGAGAGGCUUGUGCCCCUGGGCCUCUCAUAGUGCCGCAUGCCUGGCCUCUGCCCAUAGGCCGUGGGCACUGAAGUGGGCUGCACAGUG
rfam:Erinaceus europaeus unplaced genomic scaffold scaffold00446, whole genome shotgun sequence